UAUCCAUUCAUACCCCUAGACAGUUUCUCAUGUCCUGCUGACAACCUUACAGUGGCUUACACUGAUACACUGGAAGUCCUGACAGCCUGACUGAAUGAAGAAAUGCUUUGCAUGAAAUAUAAGCUUUUCAAAUGAUACUUGUUUUAAUACCUGCAUUAUAUUAAUCUCAAUAAUACAUGUAAAACCACUAAUUUCUUCAUAUAUUGAUGAAAAUGAGUUACAUUACCUUCAAAUCUCCAAAUGGGACAAACAAGACCUUAUUGAUCGAUGAUCGCACAACAAAUAAUACAGCAUACUUACUACAUGGUAAAAGAACCAAUACCAACAACAUGAUAAGAGUUAUAAAUAAAGGAAAUAAAGAAGUAGAAAAACAAUGAGAUCAUGGCAUUGUUUAUGCACAUUUGAAACCAGAUGGGACAUUCUUCUCACAGACGUUAAGAAGCAAGGUAAGGGAUAAUGGGACAUUAAGAUUGAUCCCCAGUAUAUUGGCCUUAAGUGCAGUGCAAAGGCACACAGCUGCUUCGACGUCAGCAAGUCCUUGGAUGAGGGUGCAACAAGGGGUCUUAGGAGGAGUACCAACAACAGCACCAAUCAAACCACCAAGCAAAUUGACACAAACACCUAGCUUAAGGGUAUCCACAGGACAGGUAGCCUUGGAAGGUUUAGGUGAAGGAGUUGGCUUAGGCUUAGGAGUUGGCUUAGGUUUAGGCUUAACAGGGUCAGAACAAGUGCCACAAGCAGUGACAAGAGUAAAGAAGAGAAUGUUUAGUGCAAGAAAGAGAGCCAUAGAUGUAGAACUCUUGGAAGCCAUUUCUCAAAACACUCAAGCACUUUGUAAUACUACUAGUACUUUGUAGUAAGAAAUGUUUUCAGUUGAUGAAAUGAAAUUUCAUUAUGGUGGGUAUUUAUAAGGAUGAAGAGUGGCUUGUUGGAAUAAAUCUAAGA
rnacentral:lncRNA from 1 species